rnacentral:rRNA from 1 species
CUACACAUGCAGUCGAGCGGUAGCACAGGGAGCUUGCUCCUGGGUGACGAGCGGCGGACGGGUGAGUAAUGUCUGGGAAACUGCCUGAUGGAGGGGGAUAACUACUGGAAACGGUAGCUAAUACCGCAUAAUGUCUACGGACCAAAAGUGGGGGACCUUCGGGGCCUCAUGCCAUCAGAUGUGCCCAGAUGGGAUUAGCUAGUAGGUGGGGUAAUGGCUCACCUAGGCGACGAUCCCUAGCUGGUCUGAGAGGAUGACCAGCCACACUGGAACUGAGACACGGUCCAGACUCCUACGGGAGGCAGCAGUGGGGAAUAUUGCACAAUGGGCGCAAGCCUGAUGCAGCCAUGCCGCGUGUGUGAAGAAGGCCUUCGGGUUGUAAAGCACUUUCAGCGAGGAGGAAGGGUUCAGUGUUAAUAGCACUGUGCAUUGACGUUACUCGCAGAAGAAGCACCGGCUAACUCCGUGCCAGCAGCCGCGGUAAUACGGAGGGUGCAAGCGUUAAUCGGAAUUACUGGGCGUAAAGCGCACGCAGGCGGUUUGUUAAGUCAGAUGUGAAAUCCCCGCGCUUAACGUGGGAACUGCAUUUGAAACUGGCAAGCUAGAGUCUUGUAGAGGGGGGUAGAAUUCCAGGUGUAGCGGUGAAAUGCGUAGAGAUCUGGAGGAAUACCGGUGGCGAACGCGGCCCCCUGGACAAAGACUGACGCUCAGGUGCGAAAGCGUGGGGAGCAAACAUGGAUUAGAUACCCUGGUACUCCACGCUGUGACAAUCGAUCUCGACACGGAGGUUGUGCCCUUGAGGCGUGGCUUCCGGAGCUAACGCGUUAAGUCGACCGCCUGGGGAGUACGGCCGCAAGGUUAAAACUCAAAUGAAUUGACGGGGGCCCGCACAAGCGGUGGAGCAUGUGGUUUAAUUCGAUGCAACGCGAAGAACCUUACCUACUCUUGACAUCCAGAGAAUUCGCUAGAGAUAGCUUAGUGCCUUCGGGAACUCUGAGACAGGUGCUGCAUGGCUGUCGUCAGC